rnacentral:tRNA from 1 species
GGGGUUGUGGCUCAGAGUUAGAGCACACGCCUAGCAUGCGCCAGACACUGGGUUCGAUUCUCAGCACCACA